UCUUCAAAAAUCAAGAGACUGGGU
rnacentral:piRNA from 1 species